CUCCUCACCGCCACCGCUCCUCACCUGUUGCAACCACUGCACCGCCACCAUCUCCACGCUGCCAUAAUCUACGCGUCGUCUCCUCUGCUAUAAUUGCUUUGAUUUGAUGUCUGCAACACUCAAUUAUUCACAUGAAUCUGCAAUAAUCGAGCUUAAAAUUGAAGGAUUUCAGGUGCUGAUUGAAGCGGUGGAACAAUUAAUAAGAAAUGAACCUUCGCCAAAGAUGAUAUACGAGCAACUUGUCUGGCUCCUUACUGCCACAGCUGUAAAAUUCACACUAUGGCUUUACUGCAAAAACUCAGGGAACAGGAUCGUUCGUGCAUAUGCAAAGGCGGGUCAAUUAGAAGCACUUUAGUAAACAUUAUUUUGGUAAAUUAAGAUUAUAUUGAGAUAUGAUGACAUGCUUCUGUUUUUUACCUAUCGACAGGAUCAUUACUUUGAUGUAGUGACAAAUGUUGUGGGAUUAAUCGCUGCAAUUCUUGGUGACAAAUUUUAUUGGUGGAUUGAUCCUAUCGGUGCUAUUGGUCUGGCUAUCUAUACCAUUUCAAAUUGGUAUGGGACCGUUUUUUAAAAUGCAGUUUCUCUGGUUGGACAAGCUGCUCCCCCAGAAGUCCUGCAGAAAAACAGUCUAAAGUAAACUGCUCAUCUGAUCAAAUGAGCAAUAAAUUUACUCAUUUGCACAAAUGAGUAAAUUUAUUUUGCUCAUUUGUGCAAAUGAGCAAAAAUGACGUAAUGGUGCAAAACUGUUUGCUGUUGGAGCUACCUCAACUGUGGUGAGUUCAUAUAAAACUGAUUACUAUAUUUCUUGCUAUAGUUAUUAUCGUAUUUAGGUUAUAUGUCUUCAAAAAUAUGCAAUGCCUGCAAUUUCUUGGUUUGAGGGUUCACUCUUACAUGGUUUGCAGCAAGAUCAUUGCUACAAUGCUCUUCUUUUAAGUUUUAACCUAGUUGAAAUAGGAUGGAUGCAGCCAGUGAUCUUCCAUGUUGUAUCCUCAGCUUGGGAAUUGUAGUAUACUGAUGCAUCAUACAUUAAGGUAGUGUGUAUUCAUUUAUUUAUCUGAAUCAACAGAACGUAUAAGGGCUGCCAUAAUUCCUCUAUACCUUGUGAGUGUCAUGUUCCUAUAUGUAUGCCCGCAUAAACUGCUGUCAUCUUAUGUUGAUUCUAUUUUUUGGCUAUCUUCAAGUCCAUGGAGCUUCUGCAGCCUGGAUCGAAAAUGUAUGAUAUGGCAUUGGCAACUGUUAUUCUGUACAUGGAAGAUUAUUUUAUGGUCCACACCCCCCUCCCCUGUUUCUGUAAGGGUCAGGUGUCUUUUGUAAGGACUUCUUUUCCCCUUGCAGUACUUUUUUUCAUUUUUCAUUCUUAAUAUAAAAAAUCUCCUACCAAAAUGAAAAGUCUGAAGUUACCAAUUAGCUUCGAGUUUUAAAUGGGUUGGAGAUGGAAUAGUCUAACGUAUGGAGUACCCAUUGUGGCAUUGAGGUAAUAUUGCUGCAAUUCUGCAAACUCUGAAUACCCAAAACAGUACAGGCUGAUCUGUGUAACUCCUUCAGUCGGCGUUGUCAUUUCAUUAGAUAUUUGGAUGUCAGGUUUAGUAGUAUUGAGGAUAAGGAAGUAGGGGAUCCUUCUCAAGUAACUACUACUCAUGAAAAGAACACAGUUGGAGAAGAUAAUUCUAAAGCUGAGAAACAAAAUGGUUUGCCAGAGCAGGUGAAGCCUGAAGCUGAUGUGAAUAGCAUUUCAUAAGACAAUUUAUUUUGCUCAUUUGCACAAAUGAGUAAAUUUAUUUUGCUCAUUUGAUUCUAUUUAAAAACACUAACCUACUAGCUCAAUAGGUAGAGCAUUGUGCAAAUGCACAAAAGAUGUGGGUUCGAAUCCCACGUAGGUCAAUCUUUACUUUUUGUAUUGUUUUAUUUACUUUUGGGUUAAUGUUAUUUACUUCCCAAACCUUAAAAAUUGUGAGC